rnacentral:lncRNA from 1 species
GCUGUGUCUGAUGUAGCUUCAUGGAUAAAUUGAAUUUUGCUGGAGCAAUCCUGCUUAUUUCACACAAAUACCACGUAGUGAAUGGCUGUAAAUCAUGGUGAGGUUACUGUAGCUGAAAGUGCUUUGUACCAAAACUGCAGAUUACUGUAGGUCAACCCAUCAGAAAAUUCCUCUUCAGAUUUAGAACACAACCACUAAUUUUGCUUCUCCAGCCUAUUUUAAAAAUAGGAAAACAACAGCCUCUUUUAAAAAUAGGAAAACAAACACUUUACUAAAAACAUCAUCUUUUUUUUUUUUCCUCUCUUUCUUUUCCUAUUUUAUUUUGCAGGCUGCCUAAGCCCUGACUCAGCAAGGCAUUUCUCCUUUGUGCAUAUCUUAUGCCUCAUGUACCACAUCCCACCUUUAUUUUGAUUCUCUAAUUCCUUCAGAUUUUUGGCUCCUGGGUGAAGUCCAGCUAAUGGAAACUUAGUCCCCAUGGAAAGCUGAGUGGGCAGAAUUAGAAAAAAAAAAAAAAAAGAAGUAGAAAAUGAGGAAAACUUGGAUGAAAAUUAACCAGAUGACAAUGGGAACCACCUGAAAUUCUCGUUCUGCAGAGGACAUAGCUGUGAAGUAGAGGGCAGUGUGAUAACAUCAGGCUCCCUGGCAGAUGAUGCUGCUGGAAGAAAAAAGAAGACAAGUCUUGGUGUGCAUCCAGAGACAUCAUCUGACCAUACUGACCUCCCUGUUUGUUACUUGCAGGAUGGAAAUGGUGCCCGCAAUACGCCAGCUCAUGUGCUGACUGGCACGUUGCUGUGGGUAGUGGCAUGCAGGGGACUCAGGGUUAGCAGUGUCCUGCCAAUGCCACCCAUUGCUUGCGGGUGACAAGGAGCUGUCCCU